rfam:Schistosoma mansoni strain Puerto Rico chromosome 3, complete genome
AUCCAGCUGACGAGUCCCAAAUGAGACGAAACGAGCGUACUGGAU